UUGAUGCCUAUGAUGGUUAUAAAUAUACUUUGAGUUUAUACCUUGAAAAGAAAAGCAUUCUGAGGCAUGUU